rnacentral:tRNA from 1 species
UACAUUUUGGUGUAUGGUGCACAAGAAUUUUUGAUAUUUUAGGUAAAUGGUUUAAUUCCAUUAAAUGUAA